UAGUUGUUAACAGUACCUGGAGCCACACAUUUCAACAGGCCUCCUGCUGAGAUCCAUAAGCCUCUUUUCACCCAUGGGACUUCAGCGUACCUUGUUAGCUUCACUCAGCUUCGAAAGACCUAAGAGGGCUUCGCAUUGGAAACCGGCAAUGUUUUGUGGUGAUGCGCUCAACCUGCUAGUCUGCUGCUAGUCUCUACAGAUUGCUCCAUGAGAGCAGAGUGUUUUGAGGGAGCCGAUGCACCACAGUGGCAGAGGAUGUCUGUGACUGAAGACACUGCAUGCUCCCUGGACCAGUGUCCGGUUCCCUUUAUACUGAACGAAUUCCGCAUUUGAAAUUUCCUUCAUCAAGACUCUAAGGUACACAUCCCAUUUACACUGUGAGAAACUGCCUUCCUAGGCAUUUUGAAAGGUUGUCACUAGUUAUCACCCUGAGAAACAAGGAGCGUAGUGCUGUUUACAUUAUCCGGGGAUUGGCGUGUUGGGAAUAGUGGCGCAAACCUUUGAGAGCCUGCUUGAAACGAGCCGGCUCAUAAGGGCCUGAUCCCGUAAGAAUCGUGGACGUCACAUUGCUUUCACCUAGCUCGUCAGAUGCACGUGCACAUCUGGGGAACGAGCCUGGCCGUGCUUUCUGCACCAAGCUUCAUUCACUCCAUUUGGAAUAUUGACCACAGAGCUCAGGGCAGCACGAAGGCACCUCUGGCGAAAGUGCUUUUCCAGGUCUACCAAAUAAUUCACUCCCAUAUGGAACUCUGUGGCUAAGCUCCAGAUCCAGAAAGGGCCUAACAUUCCUUUCACCUAGCUUUAAGGACACGUACUUGUUUUCCAUAAGGGAGACACGUUUGCCAAGCCAUCAGUCAGGCAUUCCCAAACACAUAGGCUCCAAUAGUGGGGCCAUCCUGGCCCUGAUAGUCAAAUUUGCUCAUGGUAUUCCAUGUAUAUAUGUCCAUGCCACUCUCUCACUUCGUCAGAGCUUACCCUUUCCCCUCCCCAUAUCCUCAAGUCCAUUCUCUAGUAGGUCUGUGUCUUUAUUCCCGUCCUACCCUUAGGCUCUUCAUGACCUUUUCUUUAAUUCUUAAAUUCCAUAUAUAUGUGUUAGCAUACGUUAUAUUUUUUUCUCUUUCUGACUUAUUUCACUCUGUAUGACAGACUCUAGGUCCAUCCACCUCACUACAAAUAACUCAAUUUUGUUUCUUCUUAUCGCUGAGUAAUAUUCCAUUGUAUAUAUGUGUCACAUCUUCUUUAUCCAUUCAUCUGAUGAUGGACACUUAUGUUGCUUCAAAAUCCUGCCUAUUGUAAAUAGAGCUGCAAUGAACAUUUUGGUACAUGACUCUUUUUGAAUUAUGGUUUUCUCAGGGUAUAUGCCCAGUAGUGGGAUUGCGGGGUCGUAUGGUAGUUCUAUUUGUAGUUUUUUAAGGAACCUCCAUACUGUUCUCCAUAGUGGCUGUA